CACAUCCUCUCUCUCUUUCUCUUACGGAAUACAACUUUUUCUAUGCCUCUUAUUCUUUGAUUUUUUUUUUUUUUUUUGGGAAAGGGGUUUAAAUAUUGGUUGGUGGCCUUUUUGAUCUGGAAGUUAAUUUGGUGCUCAAUUUACUUGUUCUUGAUGCUAUUUUACACUUAUCUUUUUUAUCCAAAUCUCAAGAUUAGUCCUAUCAAUCUUACUUCAAGCUCCUAUUGCCCUAAUAAUGGAUCUGGCACUCACCUUGUUCUUUUGAUGUUACAUGCUCUUUGCAACCAAAUUCGAAUAAUGAAACACAUCAACUCCUCAUAUUUCUCUUCUGCUUAUCGCUCUGAGUGCGAUGAUUCUGCGAGGAUUCCAAACAGUUGGUGUUUGCAGCUGCAGCAUCACCAAGAUUCACAUAAACUAGGGCAGAAUUUUUUUCUGCACUGAUAUGAGAAUCUUGAUGAUGCUGCAUCGGCAAAUAAUCGACUACAUGCUGCGGAAAGAUGAACUGCCCCAAUUUUCAAUUUUUUUCUGAGCUAAAUAAGCAUAUAUAUGGCGUUGUUCAUCACUAUUCUGCGAGGGAUUUUACUUGUUGUUUUUGGCUGGUAACAUUAUGAAGACAAUUUUCAUUUUCCGUAUUGGACCAAAUUAAUUUGUCAAUAUUAAUUCACAAAUCAUCAUCUAAUGUCAUGAAAAAAUAAUAUAUAUGAUGUUAACUAUUUCACAUUCUAAGAUAUGUGAAUACGAGUCGCUACCUAUUUCUCAAAAAAAAGAUAUGUGAAUACGAGAAAAGUAAAGUUCUUUGAAAAAGUUCUGAUUUA